rnacentral:tRNA from 1 species
GGAGGAAUACUCAAGCGGCUGAAGAGACUUGCCUCGAAAACAAGCAGAUCAUUCAUAAUGGUGCAGGGGUUCAAAUCCCCUUUCCUCCGCCA